rnacentral:lncRNA from 1 species
AAUUUUUUUUUCUUUUUAUUUUUAAAUGAAGUCUCGUUCUGUUGCCCAAGCUGGAGUGCAGUGACGCCAUCUCGGCUCACUGCAACCUCUGCCUCCCGUGUUCAGGAGAUUCUCCUGCCUCAGCCUUCGAAGUAGCUGGAAUUACAGGCGUGCACCACCACACCCAACUAAUUUUUGCAUUUUUAGUAGAGACAGGGUUUCACCAUGUUGGGCAGGCUGGUCUCAAACUCCUGAGCUCAAGCGAUCUGCCCUACUCAGCCUCCCAAAGUCCUGGGAUUACCAGCGUGAGCCACCGCGCCUGGCCCGAGGCUGACUUUUGAGCUGGUUUUUGUGCGUGCUCCGGGGUAAGGGUCCACCUUCACUCUACUGCAGAGGCCCUUAUUCCUCUGGGGGAAUCGGCCCUCAGUGAAGAGGCCUCUGCUCUCAAACCCCUGUGCAGAGCCUGGCCCCAGCAGGCCCCGGAGGGGGCACCCAGGGCACUGGAGGUCCCGCCCUACCGCAGGCAGCUCUGCAUCACACUUCCUGCUCCCCUCCCAAGGGGACCAGGGCAAAGGUGGGCGCGUGCCUGGCACAGUCAGCCACAAGCCUUGCCCAGGAUCUUAUAGUUACUGAUUCAAACCCCCCACCCUCUCCAAGCCUCAGUUUCUCCUUUGUACCCAGGGAGCUGGACCCAACAAGUCCCCUCUCCUUGAAAACGUGUGCCAGGUGCAGGCUGCUCAAAGGACACUUGUGGGCUGAGGAUGCACAACUGAGGGAGCCUCUUCCCUCCCCCACCUGCUCCAUGCCCCUCACCCCCACCUGCUCCAUGACCCUCACCCCUACCUGCUCCAUGUCCCUCACCCUCACCUGCCACAGCCUCCCCAAACCCCAGCCCCUCCUGGCACUACUUCCCACCAGGACAGGAAUUCUCUAGAUGCCUGAGCCAUGUCUCCUCAGUCCCUCACCACACACACACAGGGAACCAGGGCCUUGUCUUACUUCUCCUGUUCCACAACCUUCUAUGGCUCCCAUGGCCCACAGGUUCAGGCCCAGGCCCUCCCCAGCCACACACCACAUCCAGUCAGUCUCCCCAAGCCCCACUCAUGACAAGCCCCCCACCUCACCAGCCCUGCCCUCUCUGUGCCUGAGGCUGCAGCGGGAUCCACCGAGGCCCGUGGCUGUCUUGCUUUUCUUCAGCCACGGCUUUUACUGGCUGACGCCUCCCCACACAGCCCUGUGCUGGCAUCUUCGCCAGAAAGAUGGCGUUGGAACCUUAGCCCAUGUCAGGAAGCCAAAGGGCCAUAUCCCUCUGCCAGGCUUGCCCAGGGGGCUGGUUAAGAAUGCAGAUUUCAGCUGGGCGUGGUGGUCCACACCUGUAAUCCCAGCACUUUGGGAGGCCGAGGUGGGCGGAUCACUUGAAGUCAGGAGUUUGAGACCAGCCUAGCCAACAUGGUGAAACCCCGUCUCUAUUAAAAAUACAAAAAUUAGCCGGGUGUGGUGGUGCACGCCUGUAAUCCCAGCUACUCGGGAGGCUGAGGCAGGAGGAUCGCUUGAACUCAGGAGGUGGAGGUUGCAGUAAGCCAAGAUGGCGCCACUGCACUCUAGCCUGGGCAACACAGUGAGACUCCAUCUCACAAAAAAAAGGAAAAAAAAAAAGCAGAUUCCCAGGACCUCAAGGCUGGGGGCCAGGACAGCAGGUGUCUAGACAGGCCACGGAGGCUCUGAGCCUGGGAGUUGCAGCCAGGCCAGGCCCCCGCUGGUCUUGGUGGGACAGGGCUGUGCAUGGCUUCCAGGGACUGGAUUCUGGGGGAGGCUGCCCCUGCUGCCCUGGACCCACAUCCCCACGGCUGCGCCUCCCAGGCAGGCAGACCCAGGGUGUGUGGCUGCCCCUCCUGCUGCAGGUGCCUGACAGGGAAAUGCCCGCUGGGGACCCUGUGGGAGGUGGUGGGGGAAUGAGUGAGGGAGGGAGGGAGUGAAUGAGUGAAGGAGGGAAUGAGUGAGUGAGGGAGGGAAUUAAUGCAUGAGUGAGGGAGGGAAUGAAUGAAUGAGGGAGGAAGGGAAUGAGUGAGGGAGGGAAUGAAUGAGUGAGGGAGGGAAUGAGUGAGGGAGGGAAUGAAUGAGGGAGGGAAUGAAUGAAUGAGGGAGAGAGGGAGGGAAUGAGGGAGGGAGGCAAUGAGUGAGGGAUGGAAUAAAUGAGUAAGGGAGGGAAUGAGUGAGGGAGGGAGGGAAUGAAUGAAUGAGGGAGGGAGUGAAUGAAUGAGUGAGGGAGGAAGUGAAUGAGGGAGGAAGGGAAUGAUGAGGGAGGGAAUGAGUGAGUGGGAAUGAAUGAGUAAGUGAGGGAGGGAAUGAGUGAGUGAGGGUGGCAAUGAAUGAGUAAGUGAGGGAGGGAAUGCGUGAGAGAGGGAAGGAAUGAUUGAGUGAUGGAGGGAUCGAAUGAAUGAGGGAGGGAGGGAAUUAGUGAGGGAGGGAGGGAAUUAGUGAGUGAGGGAGGGAAUGACGGAGUAGGGGAGGGAAUGAAUGAAUGAGUGAGGGAGGGAAUGAAUGAAUGUGGUCACUCCCCGCGGUCCCCAAGCACCCGGACACCGUGACCUUGGCUGCGGCCCCGCCGUCGGCGAAAUGCGGGCGGGGGGGCCGGGAGAGCCCGGGGGCCAGCACGGUCGCGCGUUGGCGAACGGACUGUCCCGCGCGCUCGCGGGUCUGGGGGCCUCCCGACCCGGUCCUGCUUGUUGCGUGGGCGGGAGGGGGGACCGGAAGCGCCCCUCCCCCACGGGCUCGCCCCGCCCCCGCCGCUCGCGGUCCCCCACGUCCCGCCCGCGCCCCGGCCCAGGGCCAGCCCCCGGUUUAGGGAGCAUCCACACUUCUCCUCCCGUCGGUCAUGCUCGCAUUCGGCCUUUUGUACGGGGUCAGCUCAUUGGGCGGAUGAGAAGGUGUCCCCGCCUACCGCCCCGAACUGGCCAAUUGCAAGGGGUUUCACAGGGCGCUGAACUCGCGGGAGCGUCACCGUCCUGCGACGCUUCAGAGGAUCCUUAGGCCUCAGUGGUCUUUGACCCCCGGCCCCAGGACCUGACCCCAAGGAAACCUCCGGGACCUGUGGCUGGAGAGGUGACCGCCAGGCAUCCGGGGAGCCUUUGGAGAUCUCGGCUUCCUUUUUCCCCCGCUGCUUGCCGGCGUGUCCUCGGGUGGACGCGGGCAGCCCGAAGGGGAGUUUACAGACGCUCCCUCACAUCGGGGACGCGGCUCCUUU